rnacentral:lncRNA from 1 species
AUCCUUAUUUUACAGAUGAGAAAAUGAGGGACAGACCCAGAAAGUGACGGAGAUAGACAGUGGACAUGAGAGCCCCAGAUCUUCAUAAUGUCAUAUUGUGUGCCCUUCACACAUCACACUUUCUAAGCAUGGAGAACACACCCUCUAGAUGGACUUCAGUUUGGUUCCAGAUGGACUGUCCAGCUGUUUGCCUGGCAACACUUUCCCAGAUUGCCCACUGCUUUUGGGGCCUACGUCAAUGAAGGACACCAGUGGAUGCUCACUAAAUACUUACUAAUUGAUCGACUCAGACGAUAAUUAAGUCUUCAUUAAGUGAAUUCUAAAUUCUGGUCAAAUCAGAGUUCUUGUCAUAAAAUAACUCUGUUCUCCGAGAAGCCAGCCUACGGAGCGAGCCCUGGGGGCGACACAGACGGUCGGCCUGGAAGUGUGCGUGCAGCCCACUCUGCUCACGGUCAUGCUCACCUGUGGUGACAAAUCAGCCCUGGACACACCACAAGAUUCGAGAAUGACAGUUUGUCUCUCAACAGUGGACACGGCAGCCCCACUCUCCUCGCCUACAAAUUUUGGUUGAGUACGACAUGGUCUUAAAUAUAACCAGUUCAGGCAAAAAUCACUGAUUCUAGGUUUAAAAACAUGCAGACAAACGGACAAAAGCACAUUCUCUCUCACAUAGAUAGUGUGCUAGAAAUUUGCCAGCAUUUUAUUUAAAUGAAUGAAGCAAAUCAUUUAUCUAAUUGACUAAUAUAAAUUUACACCUUCACAUAAAUGCAUAUUCCAAGCCAAUUUGGCAUGUUAUCCAUCUGUACAUCCAAUAAUACUGUACUGUUCACAGAGCAUGUGGAAUAUAGAAGAAUAUCAAGUUCACGUCUCGUGUGUGUAUGUGUUGGUGUGACGUUGACUACUAAUAAAGUUGAGCCAGAGGAGGAAGGGGG